GUAAAGGCUGCUUCCUGUCUGGGCAUGAGUCCGGCGCGUGUCGGGUUUUGAGCUGCCGCGGUCCCGGGACUGAGCUCCUUGGGAGCAGACAGCUGUCCUCACUGGCAGAGGAGGAGCGCUCAGUAAAUGCUCGCUGGACGGAUAAAUGACUAGAUAAGAUAAGGCAGCUCCAGCCCCUGGAAGGCCAGAGACUUGCCAGUGUCCCACUAGCGGGCUCUUCGCAAGAAUCCCCCCGGGCCCGCCGCAGCCAGGCGGCGGCCGGCAGAGGGCGCUGCUCGGGCAUGGCGGAGGAGCGGCCGGGGGCCUGGUUCGGCUUCGGUUUCUGCGGCUUCGGGCAGGAGCUGGGCUCCGGACGCGGGCGCCAGGUGCACAGCCCCAGUCCGCUGCGGGCGGGCGUCGACAUCUGCCGCGUGAGCGCGAGCUGGAGCUACACCGCCUUCGUGACCCGUGGAGGCCGCUUGGAGCUGUCGGGCUCAGCCAGCGGCGCGGCGGGCCGCUGCAAGGACGCGUGGGCCUCGGAGGGGCUCCUCGCGGUGCUGCGCGCCGGGCCGGGGCCGGGGCCGGAGGCGUUACUGCAGGUCUGGGCGGCCGAAUCGGCGCUGCGUGGGGAGCCAUUGUGGGCCCAGAAUGUGGUGCCCGAGGCCGAAGGGGAAGACGAUCCGGCCGGUGAGGCCCAGGCUGGGAGGCUACCCCUGCUGCCCUGCGCCCGUGCCUACGUGAGCCCGCGGGCGCCCUUCUACCGGCCUCUGGCUCCGGAGCUGCGGGCACGCCAGCUGGAGCUGGGCGCCGAGCACGCGUUGCUGCUGGACGCUGCUGGACAGGUGUUCUCCUGGGGCGGGGGCAGGCAUGGACAGCUGGGCCAUGGGACCCUGGAGGCAGAGCUGGAGCCACGGCUGUUGGAGGCGUUGCAGGGCCUAGUCAUGGCUGAGGUGGCCGCGGGGGGCUGGCAUUCUGUGUGUGUGAGUGAGACUGGGGAUAUUUAUAUCUGGGGCUGGAAUGAAUCAGGGCAGCUGGCCCUGCCCACCAGGAACCUGGCAGAGGAUGGAGAGACUGUCGCAAGGGAAGCCACAGAACUGAAUGAAGAUGGUUCUCAGGUGAAGAGAACGGGUGGGGCUGAGGAUGGAGCCCCUGCCCCCUUCAUAGCUGUCCAGCCCUUCCCGGCAUUACUGGAUCUCCCCAUGGGCUCAGAUGCAGUCAAGGCCAGCUGUGGAUCCCGGCACACAGCUGUGGUGACACGUGAGUGGGGCUGGGAGGCACUCUGCUCCACUCGAGCUGGUGCCUACGGAAGGGGGUGUGGUCGACGGAAAAACUUCUGUCUUAAGGCUUCUGUGGCUCAUACAGAGCAGCUACCUUGCUCAGUGGAUAAGCCCCAACCCCCGUGUUGUUUCACAGUAGUUCCCCCAGCCUGUCAGGCCCAGAAGUUUCUUCCUUCUGGUGGGAGGCUGAUGCUUUCUGUCCUCCCUGCACGGCCACAGACACAUUCCCUGCCCGCUGCCGCCUCUGACAGCAGGGACUGUCCAGUCUGGCAUGGAAGACUGCGGCGCUCGGUAGCGUGGCACACAGGAAGAUCCGCCACUUUUUCCCUCGGGAUCCUCUGCCAUGCCACGUGUGAUCAGCCAGUUGUUAAGAGAAUAUGUUGUUCCAUGCCAGGCAGAUCUCAUGAGGAUUGUAAUAUGCUAGCUGUGGGCUGUGCCAAGCUGGGCUGGACAGAUGCCUUGCCAAAGAACCGUAGUGACAAUUAUCGAUUGUCCUUUUGCUUUCAGGAACAGGGGAGCUCUACACCUGGGGCUGGGGUAAAUAUGGACAGCUGGGCCACGAGGACACCACCAGCUCGGAUCGGCCUCGCCGUGUGGAAUACUUUGUAGACAAGCAACUCCAAGUAAAGGCUGUCACCUGUGGGCCGUGGAACACCUACGUGUAUGCUGUGGAGAAAGGGAAGAGCUGACAUGUACCAACCAACUAAAAAGUGACUGGGGAAAAAAAGGAAACACCACACUAUAUCUUUUUGAAAUGGAAAAUGGCAUUACAGGUUUUCAGGAAAACCGCUGAAGCUUUCUUUUCAUCGUUACCAGAAUGUUGGCAAUCAUUCCCCCACCGCACCCCGAAUUUAAUGCAAGGACUCAACAAGCACAGACACCAAAGCUGGCCACUCCGUGACUGUCACUAUAGGCCGCUACUCAGCCUUCCAUCCACUCAAGUGGACUCGACAUGCAGGGACAGAAAAACCCUUUCCCAUCUCUGCAGGACAGAGGGAAAGAGGUGGGGAAAAGAAAGAUCAGACUGUUACUGUGUCUAUGUAGAAAAGGAAGACAUAAACUCCAUUUUGAUCUGUACUAAGAAAAAUUGUUUUGCCUUGAAAUGCUGUUAAUCUGCAACUUUAGCCCCAACCCUGUGCUCACAGAAACAUGUGCUGUAUGGAAUCAAGGUUUAAGGGAUCUAGGGCUGUGCAGGAUGUGCCUUGUUAACAAUAUGUUUACAGGCAGUAUGCUCGGUAAAAGUCAUCCGCAUUCUCCAUUCUCGAUUAACCAGGGGCACGAUGCACUGCCGAAAGCCGCAGGGACCUCUGCCCAAGAAAGCCUGGGUAUUGUCCAGGUAUUUCCCCGCACUGAGACAGCCUGAGAUAUGGCCUCGUGGGAAGGGAAAGACCUGACCAUCCCCCAGCCCGACACCUGUAAAGGGUCUGUGCUGAGGAGGAUUCGUAAAAGAGGAAGGUCUCCGUCUCCUGCAUGCCCCUGGGAACGGAAUAUCUCGGUGUAAAACCCGAUCGUACGUACCUACGUUCGUUCUAUUCUUAGGAGAAAACUGCCCUGUGGCUGCAGGCGAGAUACGCUGGCGGCAAUGCUGCUCUGUUACUCUUUACUACACUGAGAUGUUUGGGUGGGGAGAAGCAUAAAUCUGGCCUACGCGCACAUCUAGGCACAGUACCUUCCCUUGAACUUAUUUGUGACACAGAUUCCUUUGCUCACGUUUUCCUGCUGACCUUCUCCCCACUAUCACCCUGUCCUCCUGCCGCAUUCCCCUUGCCAAGAUAGUGAAAAUAGUAAUCAAUAAAUACUGAGGGAACUCAAGAGACCGGUGCUGGUGCAGGUCCUCUGUAUGCUGAGUGCUGGUCCCCUGGGCCCACUGUUCUUUCUCUA